CGCCCCGUCACCCCGGCGCCGCUGACCCCGCGGCGGCCGCUGGGUGUCGCUGUUUCAUCUCCGAGAGGCGGCGCGCAGCCACCUUUCUCGGGCCCGAGAUGAGGCGGUGGGGCCUUCGCGACACGGGAAGGAGCGGGCCUCGCAGCCUGCCCAGCACAGGUGCGUGAAGCGGCCCGUGUUGGCCGCACGGCUGAUACAGGAUCCGCGGGGACCGGCCGUGGCAGUGCAGGGCCCGGCCGUGCAGCCGUAAGUGAGCCGCAGUGCAGCCCUCUGCGAUAGGCUCGUGGAGCGUUGCAGUGGAUGAACCCAGCGCUGUGCUUGACCGGGGGGUUUCGGAACUAAAGGUGGAGUGCCUGAGCUGCGUGCACCACCCGUGCGCUCCGACCCGUUUAAUGAUUCCUAAAGCAGUUUUGGAGGUCAGCGAAGCCCCUGGCUGCUUGCCAGAAUCACGCAUAGAAACUGCAGGGUAUCUCUCCUCCCCCCCCCCUUUCUCCCCCCCUCCUUUCCCGGGGGGGCUUUGGGAAAAUAGGAGCCGUCGUGAACUUUUGAGCACCUACUGCACCAGGCAACUGCCGAGCAGAUUUACCGAUCUCGCCUUUGUGCAGACUUGUUUUCCGAACGGCCGUAACGUGACGCUGUUUUGACAGCCUGGUGCUGAACCGCCCUGCCCUUCGCUGCCGUAUCCGCCAACAGAAGCAUCGCGCAGGUUGAAAGCGCUGGAAAUGGUGGGAAAAAAAAAAAAAAAAAAAAAAAAUGUUAUUAAAGAUUUUAAUCCCCUACCGUGGCAAUGUCACACCUCCAGCCGGUCUAUUAAUCUGGAAUGUAGGAGGGGCCUUCUGCUGCCUUCUUUCUGCUCCUUCCUCCUUAAUGCAGUUCAAAAGCUGAUCCAGGGGAAAAUCCAACGGCUGCCUUCACCCCAAGUGGCUGAGCAAUCACAGCACUCCCAGGCUGGUUUCUCUCAGGACUCCGAACACCACAGGGCCACCUGUAGUACAACAGCUACUGCAUACAGAAAAAAAAAAGGACCAUCCAAGAUGUGAAUAAACCUUGGCAAUCUGUGUCUGCCAGGUCUGUCCUUCUGGAACCUCUGCAUUCAUGUCUGAGCCCAACUCACUUGAUCUUAGAAAAACAGUAUUAAAUGAACGUUCGGAAACAUUAAGCAAGCAGCCCUUACACCACUACAAACCAGUUUGUGUUCCCACCGUGGUGAGCAGAGGAGCCACAGCUGAAUGGAAAUGGGAGCAGGAUGUGCAUGUCCAGGCCAGGAGUCACUCAGCACCAGGGGUAAACUUGCCAUAAACAACCGUCCUCAUGUAGCAAAAGGAGAACCAGUGUUCGUGCUCUCUGAGCAGAAUAUCAGACGUGCAACCGUAAGGAGAAGCAAGCCCUCUGGGAGUGUCCUCUUGGGUAAGCCCUAAAUGGCUAACUGUCUGCUCCACUGGGGCAGCCAAGUUAGCCAGACUCAGCACUGAAAAACUGGGAACAAAACUUGGCAUGACAAAUGAUACUGAGGCAGCAGUGCACAGUGUGAUGGUGAUGCUGGCUCUCUGUUCCAAAUAAAGCUGCAUCUAAACCCAGAUGAGUAAGAGCUGCCUCAAGUUUUGUAUUAAUAGGAUGUUUCAACCUUACUUUUCUUAUUGAAUUCUACAAAAAAAAAAAAAAAAAAAAUCAUCUCUGCCCACUUCUGGUAUGUGCUGGUGGUUCAUAAACCAUGUGGGCUGCAGUGAUUCAUCAGAAUUUACAUAGCAGCUCUAAGCAAGGUUCUGUCUCCUCUUAGUGAGGCAGGGCAACAACAGCUCUGAACUUCUGUGUGUUGUCAGAGCACGAGGGCAAAACCCUGCCCCAGCUGACAGCACUGCAGUCCUGGUAAUCAGGGCUGUGCUAAAGAAUCUAUAAUUGUCUCUAUUCCUGUUAGAGGAGCGCAGUGCAGGAGCGUAUUUCUGUUACUGACAUUAUUAUUGAUAGCCACGCUUCCAAAUCUCCUAAAGCCUACCUGUGCGCACAAGUGGUGGUGAUUCAUAGGGGCGAUUAGUCAGAGCCGUAAUCAAUGCAGAAGUUAAGGGCAAUGAGUC
ensembl:lncRNA